GCGCCUGUAACUCUGUUGGCAGAGCGGUGGGAUGGUACCCCACGGUCCUGGGUUCAAAUCCCGGCGGUUGCU